rnacentral:rRNA from 1 species
AUGAACCGCCCGACGCCGGCGCACCACAGGGGCAUGCCGCCGCCGCCGCAGCUGGCGCGGUACGGCUCCGCGCCGGGCUCGUUCCUCGCCGCGCUCGCCGACUCCGUCGCGCGCGGCGGGGGCGGAAGCGACGCGCCGGCCUCCCAGCAGCACCAGCCGGUGGCCGCCGUGGUGAGCCGGUUCUUCUCGGGGGAGUCGUCCGGGCUGACCUCCUGCGAGUCCAGCUGCCGGACGGCGGACGCCCCGCCGGCGCUCCAGCGGGCCUACGGCGGCUCCGGCGAGAUCCACGUGCCCCUCCCGCAGCAGCAGCAGCAGCAGCAGCCGGGGCUCCUCCGCCACAGCAGCUCCCCCGCCGGGCUGCUCUCCCGCCUCAUGGCCGACCCGCACGGCAAUGGCGGCAUGGGCGGCACGAGAGGAGGAGGGAUGGGGAGCGGCUAUGCGCACUCGCACUCCCAGGGCGGAGGUAACGUCGACGCGAUGGCGGCGCAGCAGAGGAGGCUGAGCUCGCAGUGGAGCUUCUCGAGGCAGCAGGACAUGAUGCCGCACAUCGCGGAGAUGGGGAUGGCCAUGCCGACGCCGAUGCCGCCCGCGGCCGACGCCGGCGAGAGCAUCGGCACCGGCCACGGCGGCGGCUCCAGCGACCUCUCCAGGAGCUUCUCCAUGAGCUCCUGGGACGACACCAACUCCAACAUCAUCUUCUCCGCGCCCGGCGGCGGCGGCAAGAAGGCCAAGCUGAUGGCCGACGGCGACGACGGCAUGGUCACCAGCUUCAGCAACAUCGACUCACAGUUUGGCUCGUCUCUGGACAUGCCCGGCAUGGACGACUACCUGCAGCUGCAGCAGGACUCCGUCGCCUGCAGGGUCCGCGCCAAGCGCGGCUGCGCCACUCACCCGCGGAGCAUCGCCGAGAGGGAAAGAAGAACAAGGAUCAGCAAGAGGCUUAGGAGGUUGCAAGACCUCGUGCCCAACAUGGACAAGCAAACAAAUACUUCAGACAUGCUGGACAUUGCAGUAGACUACAUCAAAGUGCUGCAGGACCAAAUUGAGAAACUAAAACAGGACCAAGGAAACUGCUCCUGCUCAGCCGAUCAGAAGUGCUGA